CCUGGCAUCAUCUUCAGGAGAGAGUGAUCUGGCAGAUACCAUCUCUCCCCACCAACUUGGCAGGUGUCUGGGCCUGUGUGGGGAGGUGAGGAGUUCUCCUGGAUCAGGAAUACCGCCAUGGGCCUGGUCUCAGAGAGUCAGCUACAGGGGUAGAACCACAGUGCCACCAAGGACACCUUAUUUGUUGACCGGUGGAGCUAGUGUGCCAGUCAAUAGGGGCAGGAAAACUACAGGCCUCCUCAUCAGUAGUAUGAAGAAUACGGAGAGGCAUUGUCCUGCAGGUUCUUUGCCAGUCUGUCCUGAGACAGAGGAAGGCAAGCUUUCAAACACCUCCAUCAGUGAUCACCAGGAAAGCAUUUGUUAUUGCCAUCCUUUGAAUUCUCUAUUAUAACCUUUUAUCCAGGG